rnacentral:rRNA from 1 species
UCGAGAAUAGUCUACAAUGGACGGAAGUCUGAUAGUGCGACGCCGCGUGAACGAAGAAUCCCUUCGGGGUGUAAAGUUCUUUUAUACGUGAGCAGUGCCCUUUAUAUGAAUAGUAUAGAGGGAGGGAUUUAAGCGUAUGAAUAAGCAACGGCUAACUCCGUGCCAGCAGCCGCGGUAACACGGGGGUUGCAAGCGUUGUCCGGAAUUACUAGGCGUAAAGUGCAGGUAGGCGGAUAGAUAAGUUUAAGGUUAAAGGCUACGGCUUACCCGUAGUAAGGCGUUAGAUACUGUUUAUCUGGAAUGCGGUUGAGGGAGACAGAAUUCCUGGUGUAGCGGUGGAAUGCGCAGAGAUCAGGAGGAAUACCGAAGGCGAAGGCAGUCUUCUAAGCCGAUAUUGACGCUAAACUGCGAAGGUGUGGGGAUCAAACA